rnacentral:ncRNA from 2 species
AACCCUGUAGAUCCGAAUUUGUGU